GCCCGGAUGGCGCAGUGGCUAACGCACCUGCCUAGUAAGCAAGGAAUCCUGGGUUCGAAUCCCGGUCUGGCACA